AAGAUGUACCAUUGUAUCUGUAUGCAGACAACAUACUUCCUUGCUAUCCCAUAUUUUAUAUAAUGCUAUGGAAUGUAAAGAAGUAUGUAUUUUGUGUAUGGUUUUUACGCCAUUUUUGUU
rnacentral:pre_miRNA from 9 species